UACGUGGGGUGCGAGCGUUGUUCGGAAUUACUGGGCGUAAAGCGUGCGCAGGCGGUUUUGUAAGCCAGAUGUGAAAUCCCCGGGCUCAACCUGGGAAUGGCAUUUGGGACUGCAAAGCUGGAGUGCGGCAGAGGGGACUGGAAUUCCUGGUGUAGCAGUGAAAUGCGUAGAGAUCAGGAGGAAUACCGAUGGCGAAGGCAGGUCCCUGGGUUGACACUGACGCUCAUGCACGAAAGCGUGGGGAGCAAACAGG
rnacentral:rRNA from 1 species